rnacentral:lncRNA from 1 species
AUGAGAAAUAGUGGAGCAUAUCUGAAUAUCUGUUUUUCCCCAAAGUUUAGGCAAGAAAAUAUCAGUACAGAUUCCUCCUCAUUCCAUAAGUGUGUUUUUCAAGAUUUUAAACAAACAACCACCUGUCAGAAAGUGAGGAAAAUUGGAGCAUCCUAUACGAGCCAUAGCAUCUCCUCCACCCUGCUUUGUAUGCUGAACUUCUACGAGAAGCUUACUAUUGGGGCCAACAGACAUGUUUUAAAACUCUGCAUCAUGAAAGUCCUCUGUGCUUCAGUACAGCAUGUGGACACAAACAUAGAAAAGUCUAUGAUGUUCAUGUUAAGACCUCCAAAUUGUCAACUCAAAGAAUAAUUUGGCUGGAUUAUUAUUUCAGUAACUCUGGGUUAGAUCAACUCAGACUUGCCCAAGUGUUCACAUGAUAAUGACAGUGUAGUUUAAUAUCAAUGACCUCUUAUUAUUUGCCUUCUUAUUCAGGGGUAUUCCAGAAUGAGUCAAGGGCACAGGUAUGCAGUGAAGGCCCUGAAAGAAAGUUUCAGGAAAAGAGAAGCUAUUUUCUCAUUCCUGCAGUCUGAUGAUACCAGAGCUGGGAGGGCAUGCAUGUUAGAGAAUACUCCAUUGAUGGACAUGCAUGCCCAUGUGCUGUGAUAUACAUAUGUGUGGUUCUUAUAACAUACCCCCUGUUUCCAGUAACUCUCCAGAAAGUCUAGCUGUGGUCAUUUCCUAAGUUUGCAGUACUUCUUUUGCAUUGUUGCUAACCUUUUGGGUUUUCACACAAUCACUGUUAAAGUUUAAAUACAAAGAAGACCACAAAAUGUUCAGCAGACUUAGCAAUAUAGAGGUUAUUAGAGAACAGAUGAGAACUUAAGAACAUCUUCAUCUCAGGUGGGCUUUGAUCAUAGCAUGGAGAGAGAGAAGCCUUGAGGCCCUUUUGGGACUUGAAACUUUUGUUUGGGGGCAACUAUUCAAGAUCAGGUGGUUUAAGAUGAUAGAGAAGUGAGUCUCUAGAGGGAGAGAAACCUAAAAUCCCAGGCAGAUAGUUUGGCUAAAAUAGUAAACAAUGACCACAAUGGAUUUAUUGAAGGACUAACCCAACAUUCACACAGGAAGGGUAAAGUCUUUGAUUUGAAAUUUUAAUUUAAUGAUUUCAACCUUAGCCUUGUGCUGCUGGGGCUUACACAUAAGAUGUGCACACAGAUGUGUAAAACUAAAACAAUAUCAGUGUUAAGAGUCUGAUCCUGUCCUUUUGCUCAGUCUUUUAUGUUUGAUCUUGUAUAGGAUAAAUGGUUUAUUCUAGAACAUUUCAUUGAGAUAAAUCAAUAAAGCAUAUGAUCUGUCUUUUUAGGUAUUAACCUUUUGCAUAGUUAAAAUAAUGCAUACUUAAAUAAUUAAAUAAAAUGUUCAUUGAGUAUCUGUUAUACAUUGCUCUAGACAGAGGCUAUAGGGGAGAAUGAAUCAGACUAAAGCCCUGUUCUAACUAUGUUUAUAGUGUGGUGGGAAAAGGUAGUUGAACACAAACACACUAUUUGUAAUGCCAAGUUCUGAUAUAUGGUAUGAAAAAGAAAACUAACAAGGUCAGCGAGAAUAGUACUAUGAAUAGCAAAGAGAAGGCAAUUCUAGACAGUGUGGUGAGGGAGUACCUCAGAUGACAUGAACUUUGUAAUUGAACAGAAACAAAAAAAAAAAAAGAAAAAUAGGUAAUUAUUUAAGGGAAGGAACAUUGCUGAAUUCCUACUAGAAGGUACAGUACACACAAAGACAGCGGGUACAGUAAUUGCUUGAGUGUGAUUGGAGCAGAAAGUGGACACAGAGGACAGGGCAAAUAAAGGAUCUGGAGAUGAAGUCAGUGAGAUGGUACAAGCUAGUAUUCCCAGAUCAUUGUAAGUCAUGGCAGGGACUGUGACUUGAAUUUGAAUGCUAGAGGAGUCACAUGGAGUCUUGAGCAUAGAAGGGGUAUUAUAGGACAUAUCAGUUACUUGCUACUAUGUGUUGAGGUCCAGGGGACUGGCUGGGAAGUUCCUAUACUCAUUUAAGAAAAUGGGAUGCUGACUUACAUAGCUGUGACACUAGUAAAAAAUAAAGAUACUGGAUGCAUUCUGCUGUAAAUUAGAUGCAGAUUGUAGAAAAAAGAUGAAUCAAAGAGGACAGGAGAAAUGGAACUGUGUAUAAGGUGGGAAAGACUGAUUCAGAACAAUGUUUGAGACAGAAUAUUGCUGAAUAGUUCAGCUUGCAGAGAUCCUGACUUUGCCUUUCAAAUGCUGAGACUUCAGGGCUGAACCAUCAUAUCCAUAUUUCAGUUUUUUCUUAUAAGGGUGUGAAGUUCAUUACAGGGACUCUAUUCUUAUGACUACAGGUGUCUGCACCAAUUAUUCCUCUGAAGCCCAUUCUUUUACAGGGGUGGGUAGAGACUUCAACACAUAAAUUUUUGUCUGAACACAAUUUAGUCCACAAUAAGGGGCCAAUACACCAAAGAAGAGACUGUGUCCAACUAAAGAGCCUUGCACAAGUAUUAGGAGACUUGGAAGGGAGUAAAAAGAGCCAAAGUGGGCAUUGAGCAGGUAGUGAGAAGAGAACUAAGCAGUUAGUAAAUGUGGGGCAUUUCAAUCGUCAUUGUUGUAGAAUGACUCAGAUGAGACUGAGCAAUGACCACUGAAUUUAGCAAUGUGAAUAUCAUGGUGACAUGAAGAACUCUUUGGUGCUAUGGUAGAAAUGAUGGCCCCAUUGCGUUGGAUUUCAACAGAUCAUAGUACGUAAGCAUCCUGCACAUUUUGUUUUCGAGAGUGGUCUGGAGAUUUAGCAAUAUUCUAAACCCUGAGUUAUUCAUUAAAGAUUGAGAAAACUCAUUUCAGGAAUUAAGUCAACCCAGUAGGAGUCAGUGGAGUGGUGAAGAGAGCCAGG